CUGGGAGCCCCCAUCCUACAGACACCCCCCAUCCUGUAGACACCUCCCAUCCCACCGGAGCCCUCCGCCUGCCGCACCACGAGCAUUAGAGCACCCGGAGAGGAUGUCCCCAAGAUAUUUUUGGGGUGCAGAUCCCUCUGGCAGGAGCAUCCCCCCAUCACUCUGGCAGCUGAGCAUUCUCGGGGGUGCUGUGCCCUCCGCUUCCCCCAUGGCCACCUCUACACCUUUACAACCCCAUCGCACCCCGAAAGGCUAUCCCAGCAGGAUUGAUGGGGAGCCGUGGCCUCUCGCAGCCACCCGCCUGCCCCCGGCAGAGCCUGGUACAGUUCGUUACGUCCAGACCGGAAUGUACUUUGUGUUAGAAGUGGCCCCAAGCCAGGACGGCAAAGCCAGACUUUAUUUAUCCUCCCUGCUCUGGCCCCGCUGCAUCCUGCCCUCGCUUCUGCCGGGUCGGAUCCUCAGCUGGGAUGAGAGAACCUCAAAUCCUGGCUGUCCCCCCACCACUCAUCUCCAUUCAGGGGAGCCGUGAGUCUGAGCAAAAUGAGGGGAGUCGCAUCCGGAGGAUGGAGCACCCUGGGCUGGAUCUGGUCCAGGGCCAACAAAGGCACCCAACAUCCCCACUGUGGCCUCUCUGGAACUCUCCCAGCACACGAGGGGGGCGGCACGAGGAAGGACAUUGGCGGCGGAGAGGGAGAACUUUGGGAUUUGCUCCCUAAUUCUGCUGGGGGGCAAGGUUUUUCCUUGAAUGGAGGUCCUUUCGGGGCUGGGUGCCGGGGCUGGGACAGGACAUGUGUGGCCAGCUGCAUGGUGAGGGGGAGCAAGCGGUGUCCCUGGCAGCCGCCCCAAAGCCAGCUGGGAUUAUUUACGGAGCACAUUUCCUCCAGGUUGUGUUACAGCGACGCGGGGGACAGGGCGGACCCCGGCGCUGGAGGGGUUCGGGCAUCGCACCACCCAAGAAAGAGUGAACUGAGGGCUUUGGAGCUCCAUUGCUUUUUUUUCCCAUCUAUUUUGUAGGGCAAACCAGGCUGGAAGCCCUCGCUGAUGCCGUCAGCCCCGUUGGGUUUGUCAGGACUUGGGUGUUAUCUAAGGAGCACUUAGAAAAUUAGGAUGCGAGGUUUCCCGAUACUGGAAAGCCGUGAUAGAUAUUUGGUAAACGGAAGUUUCAAGCUGGCGGGAAACAUUUAAACCCAGAACUCGGUGGUUGCUGAUGGUCUCUCUUCUCCUAAAAUGGGCUUUAACUCCAUAGUGGUGGAGGAGAAGCUCAACAUGAGCCGGCAAUGUGUACACACAGCCCAGAAUCCAACCGUGUCCUGGGCUGCAUCCAGAGCUGUGGGACCAGCAGGGAGAGAGGGGAUUCUGCCCCUCUGCUCCGCUCUGGUGAGACCCCACCUGGAGCCCUGUGUUCAGCUCUGGAGUCCUCAGCACAGGAAGGACGUGGAGCCGUUGGAGCGAGUCCAGAGGAGGCCACGGAGAUGAUGUGAGGGCUGGAGAACCUCAUGGACAGGCUGAGAGAGUUGGGGUUGUUCAGCCUGGAGAAGAGAAGGCUCUGAGGAGACCUUAGAGCAGCUUCCAGUGCUGAAAGGGGCUCCAGGAAAGCUGGGGAGGGGCUCUGGAUCAGGGAGGGCAGGGAUAGGAUGAGGGGGAAUGGUUUUGAGCUGAAAGAGGGGAGAUUGAGAUGAGAUCUUAGGGAGAAAUGUUCUCCUGUGAGGGUGAGGAGGCCCUGGCCCAGGUUGCCCAGAGCAGUGGGGGCUGCCCCAUCCCUGGAGGGGUUCCAGGCCAGGUUGGAUGGGGCUUGGAGCCCCUGAUCCAGUGGGAG